AACGAACGCUGGCGGCAUGCCUAACACAUGCAAGUCGAACGAGACCUUCGGGUCUAGUGCGCACGGGUGCGUCACGCGUGGGAACCUGCCCUUAGGUUCGGAAUAACUCCCCGAAAGGGGUGCUAAUACCGGAUAAUGUCUUCGGACCAAAGAUUUAUCGCCUUUGGAUGGGCCCGCGUUGGAUUAGCUAGUUGGUAGGGUAAAAGCCUACCAGGGCGACGAUCCAUAGCUGGUCUGAGAGGAUGAUCAGCCACACUGGGACUGAGACACGGCCCAGACUCCUACGGGAGGCAGCAGUGGGGAAUAUUGGACAAUGGGCGAAAGCCUGAUCCAGCAAUGCCGCGUGAGUGAUGAAGGCCUUAGGGUUGUAAAGCUCUUUUACCCGGGAUGAUAAUGACAGUACCGGGAGAAUAAGCUCCGGCUAACUCCGUG
rnacentral:rRNA from 1 species